CACCUUUGACAUGUACGGAAGUUGCCAGAGAUGGCUUCGUGCUCGAAAGAGAGCCGUAACACAGGUGCUGCAUGGCUGUCGUCAGCUCGUGUCGUGAGAUGUUGGGUUAAGUCCCGCAACGAGCGCAACCCUUGUCAUUAGUUGCUACGAAAGGGCACUCUAAUGAGACUGCCGGUGACAAACCGGAGGAAGGUGGGGAUGACGUCAAGUCCUCAUGGCCCUUAUAGGUGGGGCUA
rnacentral:rRNA from 1 species